UACGUAGGGCGCAAGCGUUGUCCGGAAUUAUUGGGCGUAAAGGGCGCGUAGGCGGCUUGGCAAGUGGAAGGUGAAAUCCCUCGGCUUAACCGAGGAACUGCCCUCCAAACUGCUUUGCUUGAGGCCGGGAGAGGUGAGUGGAAUUCCCAGUGUAGCGGUGAAAUGCGUAGAUAUUGGGAGGAACACCAGUGGCGAAGGCGGCUCACUGGACCGGUUCUGACGCUGAUGCGCGAAAGCGUGGGGAGCAAACGGG
rnacentral:rRNA from 1 species